rnacentral:rRNA from 1 species
UACGUAGGGGGGCAAGCGUUGUCCGGAAUCAUUGGGCGUAAAGCGCGUGUAGGCGGCCCGGUAAGUCCGCUGUGAAAGUCGGGGGCUCAACCCUCGAAUGCCGGUGGAUACUGUCGGGCUAGAGUGCGGAAGAGGCGAGUGGAAUUCCUGGUGUAGCGGUGAAAUGCGCAGAUAUCAGGAGGAACACCUAUUGCGAAGGCAGCUCGCUGGGACGUUACUGACGCUGAGACGCGAAAGCGUGGGGAGCAAACAGG